GACCAUUUGUCGCUGUUCACAUCCACAUAACUUCUGCAGAAGAUGUAAACCUAUCUUAUUCUUCUGGUCACAGAUUUAAAACAAACAAACAAACCUGAAAUAAAUAAUAUAAAAGUCAAAUAGUACAUAGCUGAUUUAAGGAGCAAGUCUGAGCAAUUAUUUCCUGAAAAUAAGGCUUCAUUUUUGUAAAGUGGCUAGUCUAGCUUCCACUGCACAACAGUCACAGAGAUUACGUUUCCUGUGUGGCCCAUUACUGAGGCUGGAUUUGAUAAGGUAGCUAGUAAUAAGUCUCCUGUGUGUAGGAGAGGAUUUAUGUAGGAUUUUCUCCAUCAAAAUCUUACCGUACUGGCACACCCUGAACUAUAAGUUACAGUGCACUUGAGUCCUGACAUUGUAAUGCAUAGAGCAGGACACUUCGCUGUAAAUUGGAUUCUCUAGGAAUGGAAAAAAUGGAGAAAUCCAGCAAUGUUUCAUUAUGGAAAGCACUCAAAUGUGAGAAGUCUAGCCAAACGGGGAAGGGAUUCUUUUCCAACUCCUGCUGUUGAGGCCAACUCAAUAUCAUUACUUUGCCUUGCUCAGUAAAGGGUCAUUUAUUUUUGCCAUUUUAAUAAGACUAUCUAGCUAUCGACUUCAUUUUACUAUUUCAGGCGCUUUUCUGAAUACAGAGUGGAACUAACAGUCCCUUUAUCCUGCUACCUUUUUGACACAGUAUUUGAACUGCUGUCAAGAGUUUGGGAGUACAAUUUGCAGAGAAGGCAUGGAAGAAAAAGAGAGCAGUAUGUGCUGCCUACCUCCAUGAAGCAGUUCCAGGGCUGCACCGUCUGACACCACACUCAGAUGUAUCCAAGGAGAGUUAAAGAUGGCUAAUACUUGAAUCACACACCAUGCUGGAUCAACAAGAACACCUCAUCCCAUACAACAGCAAACAGCAUUUUCCCUGACCGAGGAAAGCAGACAAAUCCCAUCUCUGUAAGAGAUCAGGCCACACAAGCCCAGCUGACAGGUGACAAUACAGAAGCACAUUACCAGAAUGAAAAAGAGCUUUUGGAAUUAGAAGCCUGCCCCAAGAGAAGGCAAUACCCUUAUUGUGGGAAUAGCUCUGGGAGGGGCAUCGAUAUCCCAGAAUACCAGCAAAUAUUCUACUAGGCCAUCUGCAGAAGGACAACUUCUGUUUUUGCCUCUUUCUUCUUGGAUCAAAUGGCAGGCCACAGUGAAGGCACCAAGAUUCAUGCACAGCUGAGCCUUACGGACACCUCUGCAAUUGUUCUGAGGCAAUUGGUGACAUCUAAGUGGUGGCUGUAGUCAUUCAAGUGCCUCUGAUGACCUCUUCAGUGAUCAAACUGACCCUUUGUCAUUCAGUCAUUUGUAUACAACUUCAUAACUUCAUACACAGAGUAAACACAGUCUACAUGUAUGUUGCUUUCACCUGACAAACCACCGAGGCUUAUUGUAAGUGACUGAUGCUGGACUUCAAUAUAUUUUCAAGAAGGCACAACAUUACCAUUCCCAAAAGGGAAUGGCACGUUGAAUACGUAGGGGUCAAAGGAACUCAUGGUUGUUGACAUGAUUAGAAAUAGGAAAGAUGAUCCUUACUGCACAAAACACGUGGCCUUCACGAAUAUUUUCCCUCAUGAAAUAACACCAUAUUCUUAUCUGAGUUAAGCUUCUUCAUACUGAUCACUUUAAUCAGACUGAAUUAAUAUGAAAAUGCUUGAUCCAGUUCAAAGCUGGAUCUUCAAAACCUUAAAUCCACCUUUUCUAUGCAGAAAAUGACUAAUCUAGAAUUCUGAUAUAUUUUCUCUAAUAAGAUGUGCCAACUGUAUGUCAAGGUUGACUUAAUUAAAAAUAAAUAUACAGAA
rnacentral:lncRNA from 1 species